rnacentral:rRNA from 1 species
GACGAACGCUGGCGGCGUGCUUAACACAUGCAAGUCGAACGGAAAGGCCCUGCUUGCAGGGUACUCGAGUGGCGAACGGGUGAGUAACACGUGGGUGAUCUGCCCUGCACUUCGGGAUAAGCCUGGGAAACUGGGUCUAAUACCGGAUAGGAGCCAUUUUUAGUGUGAUGGUUGGAAAGUUUUUUCGGUGUUGGAUGAGCUCGCGGCCUAUCAGCUUGUUGGUGGGGUAAUGGCCUACCAAGGCGGCGACGGGUAGCCGGCCUGAGAGGGUGGACGGCCACAUUGGGACUGAGAGACGGCCCAGACGCCUACGGGAGGCAGCAGGGGGGAAUAUUGCACAAUGGGCGCAAGCCUGAUGCAGCGACGCCGCGGGGGGGAUGACGGCCUUCGGGUUGUAAACUCAUUUCGCUAGGGACGAAGCUUUUUGUGACGGUACCUAGAGAAGAAGCACCGGCUAACUACGUG